UUACAAGUUGUGGAUAUCAAACAAUCAAAUUUACUUUUUUCGUGGAUAAAGGAUUUUUCUGAGACUGGUUAUUGGAUUAUGAUAUUAGUGUGUGGAGUUACAUGUAGGCCUAUUUAAUUCUGGAAAUAAUCGAUAAAGCGAUAAGGAUUACUUCGAUCUCUUUCAGGAGAGAUUAUUCCUCAUUGAUUUGCCAGAAAGGGUUCAUCUGGUCCUCAUGGUUACAUAAAGGAUGGGCCUUCACGAGGUGCUUUCAGCAUGUUCAAUUUGCGGAAGAGUCG